rnacentral:rRNA from 1 species
UCUUCGGAGGAAGUGAGACAGGUGGUGCAUGGUUGUCGGUCAGCUCGUGUCGUGAGAUGUUGGGUUAAGUCCCGCAACGAGCGCAACCCCUAUUGCCAGUUACCAGCGAGUAAUGUCGGGGACUCUGGUGAGACUGCCGGGGACAACUCGGGAGGAAGUGGGGAUGACGUCAAAUCAUCAUGCCCCUUAUGCUUGGGCUACACACGUGCUACAAUGGCUGAAACAAAGGGAUGCAACAACGUAAGUUGAAGCGGAUCUCACAAAAACAGUCCCAGUUCGGAUUGUAGGCUGCAACUCGCCUACAUGAAGUCGGAAUCGCUAGUAAUCGCGGAUCAGCACGCCGCGGUGAAUACGUUCCCGGGCCUU